GACGAACGCUGGCGGCGUGCUUAACACAUGCAAGUCGAACGGAAAGGCCCUGCUUUUGUGGGGUGCUCGAGUGGCGAACGGGUGAGUAACACGUGAGUAACCUGCCCUUGACUUUGGGAUAACUUCAGGAAACUGGGGCUAAUACCGGAUAGGAGCUCCUGCUGCAUGGUGGGGGUUGGAAAGUUUCGGCGGUUGUGGAUGGACUCGCGGCUUAUCAGCUUGUUGGUGGGGUAGUGGCUUACCAAGGCUUUGACGGGUAGCCCGCCUGAGAGGGUGACCGGCCACAUUGGGACUGAGAUACGGCCCAGAAUGCUACGGGAGGCAGCAGUGGGGAAUAUUGCACAAUGGGCGGAAGUCUGAUGCAGCAAUGCCGCGUGCGGGAUGACGGCCUUCGGGUUGUAAACCGCUUUCGCCUGUGACGAAGCGUGAGUGACGGUACUGGGUAAAGAAGCACCGGCUAACUACGUG
rnacentral:rRNA from 1 species